rnacentral:rRNA from 1 species
AACGAACGCUGGCGGCAGGCUUAACACAUGCAUGUCGAACGCCCCGCAAGGGGAGUGGCAGACGGGUGAGUAACGCGUGGGAAUCUACCUAGAACUACGGAACAACUGAGGGAAACUUCAGCUAAUACCGUAUACGCCCUACGGGGGAAAGAUUUAUCGGUACUAGAUGAGCCCGCGUAAGAUUAGCGAGUUGGUGGGGUAAUGGCCUACCAAGGCGACGAUCUUUAGCUGGUCUGAGAGGAUGAUCAGCCACACUGGGACUGAGACACGGCCCAGACUCCUACGGGAGGCAGCAGUGGGGAAUAUUGGACAAUGGGCGCAAGCCUGAUCCAGCCAUGCCGCGUGAGUGAUGAAGGCCUUAGGGUUGUAAAGCUCUUUCAGUGGGGAAGAUAAUGACGGUACCCACAGAAGAAGCCCCGGCUAACUUCGUGCCAGCCGCCGCAGUAACAC